GCUCUGUCAGCGCAGAGUCCCAUGAGGGGCUCGAACUCAUGAACCAUGAGAUUAUGACCUGAGCCGAGAUCAAGAGUCAGACGCUCGACUGACUGAGCCACCUAGGCACCCCCCUCUUUUUUCUAUGUAAUUGCGUGGUUAGCGGUGGGGACAUCACCGCCACAUAGCUGGGGUGCUAAGUUACAGGAGUGGUGGGAAUGGUACAGUCAGUCUUCUCUCAGUUACUCAGAUAAUUUUAGGUGUUGCUCAGAGUAGCUAAUGAAAAAGUGUGGAGAUUGCAAAAUCAGUUCAAGCAAAAAUCUGAGCAAACUUCAGAGUAAAAGCAAGAACUACUACAUCCCGUAUCUGUUCCAUUGUUUCAGCUACUGACCCAACAGCCCUAGCAGGAAAUCUGGGGGGCCUUCCUGCCUUUCUUCCCUUCUCUCUGCUUUUUCUUCUUGGUUCUCCUCCUCUGCCUCCAACCCUUGAACACCUGUUUUCAGCCUCACUAUUGCCUUGGGCCUGGGUGGGGAGGGGGCCAUGUCAAGGGUGGGUCCCUUCCCUGCCUCUGUGCAGACCCCGGUUCUUGAGUUCGUCCCAGAAAGAAUGCAGAGCCAAACUCUCAAGUAAGCAAGGCUUUAUUAGAAAGUUCAAAAGCAGAAGUACACUCUCCGGAUGGGACAGCAGGCAGGCUCAGAGAUGGCAAAUGCACCAGGGCUUGGGGGUGACUUCUCUUUUUAUGCUUUUGCCUCCAUAGCUAGGGCAGUCUCUGAGAUUGCUUCCAGUCAACUAAGGGACCCUCCUACUGGUUGGGAGGGGGGGAACUUUUGGCCCUAUAGGGUCCUUGUCCAAACUGUCAUGGCAGCCUUCCCUUCCAAAGGGGAGUCGAAACUACAAAGUAAAUGUAUUAUAAUGAAGCUAUAGGUUGCUUUAGGGCAGUGGUUAUAGGGAGCACAUGUGUGCUCCCUGGGGCUUUUCCUAGCUGUUUGUGUUCUGGAUUUUUAUUUAUUUAUAUUCGUUUGUUUGUUUGUUUGUUUGAUUAAUGGUCAGAAAAUCCUGUUCCCUGCUAAUAACUAGCUAACUGCCUGUUCUAUCAGAUAGGGAAUAAGAUUGUGUGAAAUUAGAAUUUUGGUAGGGAAAGGGGGCUGGCAUGGUCUGGCAUGUGUAUUCUUAAAAAGCACCCCCGGGGAUUCUGAUUCCCCUCCCCACCACCACCACAGUUAAGAACCUGAAGGUAUAAUACAAAUUCUGAAGAUCAAAGGAAAUACAAGAUCUUUCACAGCAGGAACAGAUAUUCUAAACCCCAGAUGCGUCAUUCAGGCAAAAUAAAGGACAAAAAGGCACCAGGAAGGAGAUGUGAGAGAACAUGAAAUAAAACAGGACAAGCCAGAGACCCAGAUUUGAGAUAUUCAAUACCGAUCUUUGGCCACCCCUGCACCCCCAGCCUGCCUCUGGGCAAUAGGACUCUGCCCAGUUCUGACUGUAUGUCCUUCUCUAAUGGGGAUGCCAGUGUCAUUAAUUCUGUGUCUUCCUAGACUGCAGACUGCCAGAGGGCGGAAUUACAAAUCUUUUACUUUUUACCUAUCUGGUGCCUGGCAGAGGGCAGACACUAACUAAACAUAUGCUGCUGAAUUCAGUGAGUGAAUGUGUGUUUCUAAUCUGCACCUGGAUAUCUGUAUCAAGAUGUUCCAAAAGCGCCUGAAAUUCAACAUGACCCCAAACUGAUCUUUUUAUUUGGAUUGUGCUUACUCGUGUGCCUCUACUUCCGUAUUGGUUGGUGGAAUGGAGUCGAGCAGUCAGAACCCUGAUGUCUUCUGGUGUGCCUACAACUUGAGUCGUCAGUAGCCACUCGCUUUUUCCUUCUCAAACUUCCUGUGUCCUGAGACAUUAUUCUCCCCUGGUUUUCUUUCUUUCUGGCUGCUCUUCCUCGGCCGAUACGGUUCCAUAGGUCCAGGCCCUCGGUACCUAUCCGAUUUUAUAAGGUCCCCCGGUGACCUCAUCCAUGUGCACACUUCUGGUUCCAUCCAUGUCCCAGUAGCCCUCUGAUCUCCACCUCCAGCCCUGAUCUCUGCAAAUGUAGACCCACCUACCUCCUGGACUCUCCACUUGGCCAAUAUCUCAAAUUGAACAUAUCCCAAAAGGAAUUCGUCUUCCUUCACCAUCCGCCAGUUCAGUGAAUGGGAGCAAUGUUUUCCUUAUUUCACACCUCAAUCUUUUUUACUCCCCAUAUCCAACCAAUUCCCCAAUCCCAUGUUUGCCUCCAAAAUGUCUCCUGGAUCCACUGAAAUUCUCCUUCCUCCCUGACCUGAUCCAAGCUGUCUUCAUUUGUUCCUGGACUCUCUGGGAAGUCUCUGAAUUAGUUUCCCCAUAAUCUUUGUCCUGCUGCAAUGUAUUCCUUACUCUAAAAAUCCAGAGCAAUUAAAAAGAAUAACUCACAAAUCUGAUUGGGUCACUUCCCUCACAAACUUUUCAAUGUCUUGCCUUAAAUCAUGGACUAAACGUAGGAUUUCACUGUAUCGAUCCAGACUUGCACAUAAAUGAUAUUUAUCUGUGAUAAAUGCGAUGGUGAUGGGGGAACAUGCAAAAUGGUCUGCAUAGAGAGGAAGGAGUGAAUCACGCAACUAGGUGGGAAAUGAUAGGUUAACAGUGAGUCCCGGCACUCUGCAUAGGUGGAGAGGUGUCUCUGGGCAAGUGCUUGGGGCAGAAAGUGGGACAGAUUGUAUGCCUUGAGUUUUCAGUGGGGCCAAAACAUCAUGGAGGCCCGUGGAGUUGGCCAAGCAAUCCUGGAGGUCAGAGAGGAGGAGACAGGGCACGGCAGGAGACCGGUGCCAUAUGGAAAGUCCACUGUUGGUUGGAAAGAGGACUUUUGAGGAACAGGAAUGUCUCGGUGAGAUUUUUAGCCAUUAGGUGACAUGUUAUAUGCCUCCACCCACUCCCCCACCCCACCCCCAACCUCUGCCAGCUCCUGCUGCCCUGAAGCCCUUCAGUGAGGUCUACUAUUUAGAAAUGGUGGGUUGUUGUCUUUGUUGUUGUUUUAAAUGAAAAUGGCGACGGGCUUAAAUUUCCUGUCUGGAUUGUUGCAGUGUGAAACAGAGCCUGCAGCAGGGAAGCAAAGAUGAGAAACCACAGAUCUUUGAAAGUACAAACUCACAGGCUUUGGGGAAAGGCUUUGGGCUUCGCAGGAAAUAGAAUUAAGGGUUUGAACCAGUAUCGGUUUGAACCUACGUUUUGAGUGGCAUCCCCCUCCAACCACCUGGGUUACACUAGGAUUCUCCUAGGCUGGGAGGGAUCCGGCGCCAUCAGAGAGGAGGUGACACUUGAGCACAGCCUUCUUUUUUUUAUUAAAAAUUUUUUUUCAACGUUUUUAUUUAUUUUUGGGACAGAGAGAGACAGAGCAUGAACGGGGGAGGGGCAGAGAGAGAGGGAGACACAGAAUCGGAAGCAGGCUCCAGGCUCCGAGCCAUCAGCCCAGAGCCUGACGCGGGGCUCGAACUCACAGACCGCGAGAUCGUGACCUGGCUGAAGUCGGAUGCUUAACCGACUGCGCCACCCAGGCGCCCCGAGCACAGCCUUCUUAAAAAAUAGAUCUAUCAUUUCAGCAUUAGCCAAGAUGUUUAUUUCCCCCUGCAAUCAAAGACAGAGUGGAGGCCAGCAGAGCAGAAUCCUAACUCCUUCGAGUCAAGAAGGACUGACUUAUUAUUCUUUUGUCAUCAGACAGUUCAACAAUCAACGGGCACCAAGCUGACAUUUGGCCGAGUGACAUCAGCAGAGCUGUUGAACCUCAGAUAGUCAGCAUUUCAAUAGCCCGUGGUCACUAGGAAGAAUUGCUACUGGGCACAGCAAAAGCAAAAACAGUGUCAUUCGAAGACAAAAAAGAACCUCAACUCUGCCAGACUGAGGAGAACAAACCCAUUCAUCACCAGGAUGGUCCUACAAAGACCCAAAUUACAAAUGGGCUGGAAAUGCUCAUUCACAGUCUGUUCCCGGUAGAGCAUUCACGACACAUGGUCUACAUUUAUCAGGGCAAAGAAUGCUUGUCCAGCCUUCCCCUUUUAAAGACUGGCCCGUCCUCAAAGACGGAAAUCUUUUUCUGACUUCUGAGUGCGUUUGUCAUGAAAUGAAUAAAACAGAAGGGAAGAAUAAACCAGGGAAGACAGGCUUGAAAGUGCCAAGUUAUUGUCAUUACCAGAAAACAGGGGGGGCGUGUUGAAGACGGAAGUGCAACAAAAAAUCCUACCCCGACUGACUGCAAAUCACUCUUUUGGCUUCCAUUAAGUAAUGGCCAUAUUGCUCAAUGAAUGAGGACAGCAAUUACGUGCCUUCUCAUCCUGUCAUCCUAACACCUCAUGGCUGUGGCACACCCUGGCUCUGGGCCAGCAUCACUUUUUCAUUUGAUCACACAGCACGUGGAGAAGAAGGUGGCUCUCGCGGUCCUCAGGCCACAAGGCUCUCAGGUCGGUCUCGCAGACCUUCCUGAGCAAGCACAGACUGAGAACUUGGCAAACUGGAUGGGGAAGUGCCAAGGGCAUAUUCUCCAAAUUGCUCUGCUCAGAGCAGAGUACAGCCUCUCCUGGACUCACGCGAGAUCUUAAGAGAUGGCAGAUGUACGGAUGUUUGGUGCCCUUUUCCUGUGCAAGUAGACUUCCUGGAGGUCCUUCGGUUGCUGGGCUUGUGAACGGCUGAGCCUGCCUGGCUGGAGGGCUUUGGGGGCUAUAAACCGGAGGGACGCAGAACAGGAUAGAGGAGAGGCUGUUACACCUGCCUCACCGUGCCACGUGGCUCUUACCUCUACUAGCAGAGAUUUAACUUGGGUCCGCUUCAGAGAGCCACAAGGACACUUGAUUGGAAAUCCCCACACCUCAAGGCUGCCUCCUGGGUUGUUUCUGGGCAAAAAUACCCUGACGUCCUUUAGAAGCUCAGUUGAGAUGGCUGGCCAGGAAGUAGACAUUCCCUCCCUGGGCUGGGAGUUGGGGGGAGAGCAAGGAAGGCAAGACUGACCGAAAGCUUUUCUCUGAAGGGUUGGAGGGACACUCAUCCCAGGCAAACCAAUAGAUUGGGGCUCUCAGGAUGACCUCCCCACCUCUGCCCUGCUUUCAGCUGCCCUUCAAGCCCUGGGUCAUGUCUUGAGAGUUAGCACUGUCCCUGACAGGGCAGGGAUGGGGACUACCUGGAAGGGGAAUUUGAGUCAUGAGAAGUGUACUGGGUGUUCUAGUUCGUGGGUGGUCUCCAAACCUUUUUGGCUACAUAUGCCAUGAGUAAAAACUGUUUGAUGAUGCGUGCUCAAAAGAUGUAGUUUCAUUGAUAAAUUACUUACAUGUACUGUCAUCUAUCAUGUAUUUAAUAUUGGUAAACUUGUUUCCAGAUAAAAAAUAAGUAUAAAUA